AUCAACAAACCAAUGAAAAUUUAUCUAUUGUAAAUAAUUUAUAAACCGGCUGAAUACUUUUGAACAGUUCACUGACUGACCAAAGGCGCGGUUGGUCUAUGCUGAAAGUUUUAAAACAUCUCAAGUACUUCCAGAUUCAAGACAGUUUUUUUUUUCAAAUUAUUACAUCAAUGUCUUACUCUAAUAUGGCUGUAAACAAACAAUCAAAUUUAAAAAUGAGUUUAAAACCUGGUUACGUUAUAUAUCCGGAUAACACGUAUUAAUAAAUAUGUAUAAAUCCUUGAGCUUCGAGGAAGAGAGCAUUAACAGCGGCGAUGACACCUAAUGAACCGGUGGCUAUUUCUAAAUGCCCGGAUGUAUUUGUCACUAUGUGAAUCCCCUGAUUACUUGGUGUCUAGCUCUAGGCGGCAAUCCAUGAAAGCGUCAUUACAUAUUACGACAGUGAACGGACGCUAGCUAUAACCUCGUGCAAGGUCAUGCUGCUGUGUACAUAUAAGUGUACGCAGGUAAUAUCGUCCUAUAUUCUACAACUUCUAGUUUGCAACAAAGUUGUUGUAUGCUGAGAAAAAAUAAAAACUAUGCCCAGACUAGGAUUUCUUGGCUAAAAAAUUUUUUAAAGUGAACAAUUUGAUAUAUUAAUUUUUUGACGCAAGAAUAUCAAUAUUUAUUUUCAUUA